rnacentral:rRNA from 1 species
UACAGAGGUCCCAAGCGUUGUUCGGAAUUACUGGGCGUAAAGCGCGCGCAGGCGGUCUUCCAAGUCAGUGGUGAAAGCCUGGAGCUCAACUCCAGAACUGCCAUUGAAACUGUUAGACUUGAGUACGAGAGAGGUGAGUGGAAUUCCCAGUGUAGAGGUGAAAUUCGUAGAUAUUGGGAAGAACACCAGUGGCGAAGGCGGCUCACUGGCUCGUAACUGACGCUCAGGCGCGACAGCGUGGGGAUCAAACAGG